AACGUAGGACGCAGGCGUUAUCCGGAGUUACUGGGCGUAAAGCGUGCGCAGGCGGCUUUGCAAGACAGAUGUGAAAUCCCCGGGCUUAACCUGGGAACUGCAUUUGUGACUGCAUGGCUGGAGUGCGGCAGAGGGGGAUGGAAUUCCCGGUGUAGCGGUGAAAUGCGUAGAUAUCGGGAGGAACAUCAGUGGCGAAGGCGGCUACCUGGCCCAAUACUGACACUCAGGUGCGACAGCGUGGGGAGCAAACAGG
rnacentral:rRNA from 1 species